UGUGGCCACAUUUACAAUGGUUAGCCUUUUUUUAGAUAUUAGCAGAUCAAUGCAUCUGCCUUACCGGAACAACAUGUCUUUCUUAACAUGAAAAGAGGCAAACAGAAAUGGUCAAAGUCAUAUUUAUUUACCCGUCAUGGCUUACUAAUUAAAAGCUUCUACACACAAGUAUAAAUUAAAAAGCUUAAUUUCCAUUUCUUUUAAUAGGAUUCUUAGGGGUGCAACUAAUUGUGGCUCUGUAAUUUCGUAAAACAACAAAACAAAAACAAUUGUUUCUUAAUUUGUUUUUUUUCCCUCACUAAACAAAUGCAGCCAAAUUAAAGGCAGAAAUGUUCUGUGUUUAAUUAUGCUAAUGGAACAAAAGACUGAAUUAUUUUAAACCUUCUCACACGUCUUUACCAGGAGUGGCAUUUAACAAGUGGGGUGCGCUAAGUGGCUGUUUUUAAUAGCCGUACUUUGACUUAUGAAGAGCAACACCUCUACCUUGAAUGCUAUGUUUGCUUGUCUUUCCCACUUUGAAGGAUUGAGAUGCUAAUCCAAUUAACAUCGGGGUCGAAAGGCAUCUCAUCACCUAUCCUCCUCUUCCGGAUGUUUUCCCAUGACCAGUGGCUUCCUCAAAGACUCAGUGAAAAUCCACUUGGCAUCCCAAGUGUAGCGUGAAGUAAAGGCCAUGCUAACAUUA